rnacentral:rRNA from 1 species
UACGAAGGGUGCAAACGUUGCUCGGAAUUAUUGGGCGUAAAGCGCACGUAGGCGGCUUUGCAAGUGACGGGUGAAAGCCCUCGGCUUAACCGAGGAACUGCCUGUCAGACUGUGAGGCUUGAGACCAGGAGAGGUGAGUGGAAUUCCCAGUGUAGCGGUGAAAUGCGUAGAUAUUGGGAGGAACACCAGUGGCGAAGGCGGCUCACUGGACUGGUACUGACGCUCAUGUGCGAAAGCGUGGGGAGCAAACAGG